GGAAUUCGCCUCUUGGACUGGGACAACUGUCGGAAACGACAGCUAAUACCGGAUAUUAUGAGAUUCUCGCAUGGGAAACUUAUGAAAGCUAUAUGCGCCAAGAGAGAGCCUUGCGUUCCAUUAGCUAGUUGGUGGGGUAAUGGCCCACCAAGGCGACGAUGGAUAGCCGGCCUGAGAGGGUGAACGGCCACAAGGGGACUGAGACACGGCCCUUACUCCUACGGGAGGCAGCAGUGGGGAAUAUUGGACAAUGGGCCACAAGCCUGAUCCAGCAAUUCUGUGUGCACGAUGAAGGUCUUCGGAUCGUAAAGUGCUUUCAGUUGGGAAGAAGAAAGUGACGGUACCAACAGAAGAAGCGACGGCUAAAUACGUGCCAGCAGCCGCGGUAAUACGUAUGUCGCAAGCGUUAUCCGGAUUUAUUGGGCGUAAAGCGCGUCUAGGCGGAAAAAUAAGUCUGAUGUUAAAAUGCGGGGCUCAACUCCGUAUUGCGUUGGAAACUGUUUUUCUAGAGUACUGGAGAGGUGGGCGGAACUACAAGUGUAGAGGUGAAAUUCGUAGAUUUUUGUAGGAAUGCCGAUGGAGAAUUCAGCUCACUGGACAGAUACUGACGCUAAAACGCGAAAGCGUGGGGAGC
rnacentral:rRNA from 1 species